CUCAGGUUCCCCGCCUUCCCUGAGCUCCCAGGAGGCUGUGGGCACGGUGCAGCCCAGAGGAAGGGGCCCGUCUUGCCGAUAUCCGGCACAGCUACCUCUCCUGUUCCUGUAGCUCAACUGGCCUCGGAGAGAGGUUACGAUGCUGUUUUAGGCGUGUGGAGUCGGGACACCUUUUUUCUCUUUCUGCCUUUGCACGGAGGGUGGAGAACAGGAUUUAUACUCGUCCAGGAGGCUCUGGCUGGCCACCUGGCCCCCUUGUCCUCUCCAGGCCCCUGGGGUCUUGCCUGGUGUGAGAUCCGGGAACCCUGCAGCAAGCUCCUGGCUUGCAGAAGGAACAGCAGGGGGUGCACAACCAGCACACUGUGGCUCUCUGGGGCUGGGGGCUCAAGGGGAGGGCGGCACUCCCAGGUUCCAACGGACUGGCAGGUGCCACACCCCUGUGCUUCCUCCUUCCCCCCAGCCCAGGACGCCCCACCAAUUGCUACACCCCACAGUGGCUCCCCCACACCCUGGACCUCUCAGGUCUACCUGGGUGUGGCCCUGCUGCCUGGUGAGCCUGCAUGGGGCGGACCUGUUGGGGCUCCUGGGAGAAGAGGCUCAGGGCAUAGAUGUGGGCCACGCGCCCUAGGGGUGCAGUCCCUGCACCCUGCCCCGGGGCCAUGUUGGAACCUGGGACAGCACGGUGGGGGAAAGAGCUCCGCUGAUGCAUACGGGAGUCCUGUGGGGUCUGGUUCACUGACCUCUUCCCCCCAGGGUGAUGUGGACCAACCAAAUUCCAGACUGCAUAGCAGCCAUACUGGUGCAGUCCAGGGGCUGGGUGGGGGGCCAGCCUUCCCCAGGGUCCUCGUUCUGAGGUUUCCUCUUCUGGAACCCGGGCUGGGAACCCUGCGGCCGGGAAGAGGGUGCAUGAGCCUGUCUUGUGCUGGGGCUCUGGACUGCGGGCAGUGGCCAAGACCCCCAUCAGCGGGGUUCUGGGUUCCACUGUGUGCCCCCAGCGUCCGGGCCGGGUGCGGGUUUGUCUCCCGCCCUGGGCUCUGUUUGGGUGUGAGCGGGGCAGGCGUCGUCAGUCUCUGA
rnacentral:lncRNA from 1 species